rnacentral:rRNA from 1 species
CUACGUGCCAGCAGCCGCGGUAAUACAUAUGGGGCGAGCGUUAUCCGGAUUUAUUGGGUGUAAAGGGUGCGUAGGCGGGAAAAUAAGUCAGUAUGUGAAAUCCCUCGGCUCAACUGAGGAACUGCAACUGAAACUAUUUUUCUUGAGUGUUGAAGGGGAAAGUGGAAUUCCUAGUGUAGCGGUGAAAUGCGUAGAGAUUAGGAGGAACACCAGUGGCGAAGGCGACUUUYUGGGCAACAACUGACGCUGAGGCACGAAAGUGUGGGGAGCAAACAGGAUUAGAUACCCUGGUAGUCCACACCGUAAACGAUGGAUACUAGGAGUUGGCAAAAAUAUUGUCGGUUCCGCAGUUAACGCAUUAAGUAUCCCACCUGGGGAGUACGACCGCAAGGUUAAAACUCAAAGGAAUUGACGGGGGCCCGCACAAGCAGUGGAGUAUGUGGUUUAAUUCGAUGCAACGCGAAGAACCUUACCAGGGCUUGACAUAUACAGGAAUAUAUAAGAGAUUAUA